AGCAGACACCGUCCACUCGGGCUCACAGUGCUAUCCGGGUGAGGACCUCCCUGGAGAGCCCCUCUUUGCCAAAGAAAAGCAAAGUUGCAUUAGGUCUGCGAGCAGGCAGGGCGGCCUGUUCCCGGCUCCCCACCCACCACGGAGGCUUCAAGUCCCUGGGACAGAGGCACUUUCCCACACAGGACAGAGCCGGACCACCCUCACAGCCCCUGUCCCGCAGACGCUGGCCUUGUGGAGGGAGGCGGGCAGCAGGAGCAGUGCUUUCUGGGCCCUCUGCGGCCAGAGCUGGCUCUGCUGCAGCUCACUUCUGCCUGCAGCCCAGACAUCCUGCUGGUCCUCCUGAUGCCCCCGGCCUCCACGGAGGAUGAGCGUCUCCAGCCCAGCCCUCCCCAUCUCCACCUUCCGCUCCCCCCGACACACUGGGAGCCUCCUGAUCUGUGAACCCGUGCUGGCGGGGGUAGCUACUGACUGCUGAGGACCCCUGCCCGGGCUGUUCUCACGUGGAAAGGAUUCGGGGAGCGGGCGAUGCUUAGCUCAAAGCAUGGAGACCAGCGCUGCCCUCUCCCCAGCGACAGGUGCACGCUCAGAUCACGGAUGUGUCGGGAACAGCUGUGACUCCUGCUGCUCAGCGUCUGUCACUCCAGGCUGGGAGCGGGUCCCCAAGCUUCCGGCUGGGCCCAUCCGUCUCCCCUCUCAGUGGUGGGUGGGGGGAGCGCCAACAGCACGCAUUUGCUCUCCACACUUCUCAUCUGACAGUGGGCAGAGGGUCCUUCUCCAGCCCUAAAACAUCCCCAGGCAACGUCCUGGGGCUCCAAGCAGCCAGGGAGAGGUGAGUACCAAGGACCUCCCCUCGGGCGUCAUCUCCUGCCGAGGGAGGCCAAGCCUAGGGGCGGUGUCUGUCACGUGGAGGCAACACUUUCACUGGUGGCAGUAAAUGCUGUCCCUAACCCUACAGUAUAGAUGUGGGUUUCUGUGCCCUGUACAGGAGGGUGCUAUCUGACACCAGACACCCAGACUACAGAUCGCAGCCCCAUUCCUGGUCCUUACGCCACUGAACCCCAGACCACAGCCUCAUUCUAGGCCCUCAUCCCCUAGAUCCAGGGACCCCAGCCCCAUUUCAGCCCUUGGGCCCCUGUAGGAUGCUAGGCCCUGGCUCCCCUGGGCCCCAGCCCCCAGUCCAUCCCAGGCCCAGGCACCAGGGGGGCUGAGGUCCUCUGAGAAGGGACACGGGGCCUCGGGGGGGCUCUCUCAGCCCAUCAGCAGGAGAGGACUGACUCCAGAAAAAUCAGCCUUUGUGCCCACUUAGGCUGCCAAGACCUGUGUCUGUCCUUCCACACUCAACCUUCAGAUUUCAUGAGGCUCCUUGCCC